AAACGCAUGGCUUAGUGGUUAGGGUAUUUGGCUCACAAUCGUAAGGUCGUGAGUUCGAUCCCCUGCUGCGUGUU
rnacentral:tRNA from 1 species